AUUGAACGCUGGCGGCAGGCCUAACACAUGCAAGUCGAGCGAGCGGCGGACGGGGGUGUAAUGUCGGUACAACUGCCUGAUGGAGGGGGAUAACAAGUGGAAACGGUAGCUAAAAUCCCACACCAUCUCAGAUGCCCCGAUGGGAUUAGCUGGUGGGGGGGGUAAGGGCUCACCUAGGCGACGAUCCCUAGCUGGUUUGAGAGGAGGACCAGCCACACUGGAACUGAGACACGGACCAGACACCUACGGGAGGCAGCAGUGGGGAAUAUUGCACAAUGGGCGCAAGCCUGAUGCAGCCAUGCCGCGUGUGUGAAGAAGGCCUUCGGGUUGUAAAGCACUUUAAGCGGGGAGGCGUUACCCGCAGAAGAAGCACCGGCUAACUCCGUGCCAGCAGCCGCGGUAAUUC
rnacentral:rRNA from 1 species